GCUAACGCAUUAAGUAGACCGCCUGGGGAGUACGGCCGCAAGGUUAAAACUCAAAUGAAUUGACGGGGGCCCGCACAAGCGGUGGAGCAUGUGGUUUAAUUCGAUGCAACGCGAAGAACCUUACCUACACUUGACAUACAGAGAACUUACUAGAGAUAGUUUGGUGCCUUCGGGAACUCUGAUACAGGUGCUGCAUGGCUGUCGUCAGCUCGUGUUGUGAGAUGUUGGGUUAAGUCCCGCAACGAGCGCAACCCCUAUCCUUAGUUGCUAGCAGGUAAUGCUGAGAACUCUAAGGAGACUGCCGGUGAUAAACCGGAGGAGGGUGGGGACGACGUCAAGUCAUCAUGGCCCUUACGUGUAGGGCUACACACGUGCUACAAUGGCGCAUACAGAGUGCUGCGAACUCGCGAGAGUAAGCGAAUCACUUAAAGUGCGUCGUAGUCCGGAUUGGAGUCUGCAACUCGACUCCAUGAAGUCGGAAUCGCUAGUAAUCGCGUAUCAGAAUGACGCGGUGAAUACGUUCCCGGGCCUUGUACACACCGCCCGUCACACCAUGGGAGUGGGUUGCUCCAGAAGUAGAUAGUCUAACCCUCGGGAGGACGUUUACCACGGAGUGAUUCAUGACUGGGGUGAAGUCGUAACAAGGUACC
rnacentral:rRNA from 1 species